UGAGAGGGCGACCGGCCACACUGGGACUGAGAUACGGCCCAGACUCCUACGGGAGGCAGCAGUGGGGAAUAUUGCGCAAUGGGCGAAAGCCUGACGCAGCAACGCCGCGUGCGGGAUGACGGCCUUCGGGUUGUAAACCGCUUUCAGCAGGGACGAAACUGACGGUACCUGCAGAAGAAGCACCGGCUAACUACGUGCCAGCAGCCGCGGUGAUACGUAGGGUGCGAGCGUUGUCCGGAAUUAUUGGGCGUAAAGAGCUCGUAGGCGGUCUGUCGCGUCGGAAGUGAAAACUCGGGGCUCAACCCCGAGCCUGCUUUCGAUACGGGCAGACUUGAGGAAUGUAGGGGAGAACGGAAUUCCUGGUGGAGCGGUGGAAUGCGCAGAUAUCAGGAGGAACACCAGUGGCGAAGGCG
rnacentral:rRNA from 1 species